rnacentral:rRNA from 1 species
GUAGGUGGCAAGCGUUGUCCGGAAUUAUUGGGCGUAAAGCGCGCGCAGGGCGGUCCUUUAAGUCUGAUGUGAAAGCCCACGGCUCAACCGUGGAGGGUCAUUGGAAACUGGGGGACUUGAGUACAAAAGAGGAAAGCGGAAUUCCAAGUGUAGCGGUGAGAUGCGUAGAGAUUUGGAGGAACACCAGUGGCGAAGGCGGCUUUCUGGUCUGUAACUGACGCUGAGGCGCGAAAGCGUGGGGAGCAAACAGGAUUAGAUACCCUGGUAGUCCACGCCGUAAACGAUGAGUGCUAAGUGUUAGGGGGUUUCCGCCCCUUAGUGCUGCAGCUAACGCAUUAAGCACUCCGCCUGGGGAGUACGGCCGCAAGGCUG